CUAACCCAAAGAUUUGUCGCGCUCUCUGGCUGUAGUCCUUGCGCGUGCGCUGCACGUAAAGCUUAAUGGGAAUUGUAGUCCACUCCCAUGUACUUUAAAUGACUUACCAAAUAAAAAGGCGAGAAAGGAGAGAUCUCCUGACUUCUUCCCUCAGUGGGGUCUCUUGCACUGACAAUCAGGGGAGAAUACGGAGAUUCAGGUUCUUCUGUGAUGUCAGUGGUAGGUUAGGCUUGUGUUCGAUGACGUCAUGGGCGCUCUUCCCACCACCCAGCGACCUAGGAGGGAUCAGUGAGGUGGGUUCGAGCGCCGGCCUUUCCUGCUGUCGCGCCGAAAAGGUCAGCUGUCUCAGCACGCCGCGGCCGCCCUGCCUGAAAGGUCCCCGAAACGGGGAUGCGAUCAUCGCUGUCUCUGCAGCGAUAAGCAAAGGCCCAGCAUCAGAGACGCAGAGAAAAGGGCAGAAGGUUGCACCCAGAGGAGUCACCAGAGAGAGAGGCGCAUGGAAAGCUUUGUGCAUCCUUCCGUCAAGAUGACAGGGCCACGCGGCGUCACCCUGGCCCUAGCAAAGGUUAUCGCUGGCUGGAGACGGAAAGGUCGGGCUGGCGCCAGGAGAU